GAGGGGACGAUUCUAGAGAGAGGAUAUACUAAUUGGGGGAGGAGGAAAACCGAGGGGUAACAAUUCAAUCCCUCAUUUUUCUUCUCCUUCUUUUCAUUUCUGCACUUACACCUAAAAUACACACGCACGCUCUACAAGUCGACCUCUUACUCGGUGCACCGGAAGUCGACCAUCGCUCACUGCCAUAAGAAACUGAGCAAUUGUUGUCUUGCAUAAUCGGUCCUUAUUAAAUCAACAAGGAUUGGGUGAGCUUUAGCAAAUAAGGCGGUUUAUAAUAUUUGAUGCGGAAUUGCCCCAUGAGCUAUAAGGCCAGGCGGUGUAGUUAUGUGGGUGCACUAUGUUCAUUCAUGGGGCUAUAAGGCCAAGCGGUUCAUGUUGAUAUAUGAUGAAUUGCCCCAUGAGCUAUAAGGCUAGGUGGUACAUGUAUGAGUGCUAUGUGUUGCAGCUUAUUCGAUCGGUCCACACGCGGUGGAAAUAUUAUAUGAUUUCGAUCGGGCCUCGCACGGGGGAAUAUAUAUAUUGACAUGGUACCCAUGGUGUUGUCAAGCACGUGGAUGAGGGCUUAAUAUGGUGAUGUUUGUGGUGAUGAUGAACUUGAUUACGUGUGGUCGGUCGAUGUUGAUUUGAAUUGGUGAAUUAUCUGCAUAUCCAAGAGGUUAAACUGAGCAUGAUGACGGUGCUAUGGUUGUGGUAUGUGAUUUUGUGAUGACUAUGUGUCUAUUGAUGGUUAUUGAACUGACGUUUGAACUUGUGAUUAAUUUAUUGAUUUAGAUAUUCUAUUGUCAUGUUGUUCA